AUAUAUCUUUUAUUUAUUGAAUGAAUAAAUUUUUCCUGAUAUUAUUAUCAGUGUUUGUCCAAAAAAAAAUUAAUCAACUUAUGUAUUUUAAAUGUUUCCUUAAAUCUGUAUUGAUCAUCCAUUUUAAUCCAAAGGUUAAGAUCAGCCACACAGAACAUUAGUUUCAUUUCAUUUGCCACGUAUAUAAUAAAAAUUUAAUUUUUAAGUCACCUUAAUUUCUCUCUUUCCAAAUUAUUUAUUGAAAAAUGGUAUACAUCGAUACAUGUUAAUAAAUAUUUGACGAAAUUAAAUUACAACUAACAUAAAAGUGUAUGUUAUUCCCACCGCGCCACCAACUCCGCCACCGCUGCUGCUACUGCCCACUAUGUGUCAACACCGGCGGAGGCAUUAGUAGUAGUCGACGUGAAGUGGUGAUAGUUGUUUCCGGGAACGCCUAGUUCUUUUCUCCUGGCUUUCGAACCAGUGUCCAACAGCAACACGUCCAUAAUAAUGCAACGGAUUGGCAGAAAGUGUGCCAAAAACUAUGAGCACAAUAAUUGUAACUGCAUCCAUAUAACUUACUACUAAUUAAUUAAUUUCUUUAUUUGUUGGAUUCUUAGCUAUAAUUACUUUGUUAAUUGGGCACCUGGUCUGGUCUGAACUUUAUAUAGAGAGAGAACAUCAGAUUGUCCGCGUUAAGUAAACGAGUCAACUGACCAAUUAAGCAAUACAAUUCUCAUCUUACGUAUGGAAAACAUGAAAAAUAG
rnacentral:lncRNA from 1 species